GACGAACGCUGGCGGCGUGCUUAACACAUGCAAGUCGAACGGAAAGGCCCUGCUUUUGUGGGGUGCUCGAGUGGCGAACGGGUGAGUAACACGUGAGUAACCUGCCCUUGACUUUGGGAUAACUUCAGGAAACUGGGGCUAAUACCGGAUAGGAGCUCCUGCUGCAUGGUGGGGGUUGGAAAGUUUCGGCGGUUGGGGAUGGACUCGCGGCUUAUCAGCUUGUUGGUGGGGUAGUGGCUUACCAAGGCUUUGACGGGUAGCCGGCCUGAGAGGGUGACCGGCGACAUUGGGACUGAGAUACGGCCCAGACUCCUACGGGAGGCAGCAGUGGAGAAUAUUGCACAAUGGGCGGAAGCCUGAUGCAGCAACGCCGCGUGCGGGAUGACGGCCUUCGGGUUGUAAACCGCUUUCGCCUGUGACGAGGCGUGAGUGACGGUAAUGGGUAAAGAAGCACCGGCUAACUACGUG
rnacentral:rRNA from 1 species